UCCGUUCUGCAAAAAAAAAAACAAAUGGCCGCGUUAUCCCAGAAAGAAUAUUAGAAAAUCUCAGCACGGUCCUUGGAAGAAUCGAAUUUUCAGUAUUCUCCUUGGGCCUAGAUGCACAAAUCCCAGCCGAAGCCACCGUAUUAGUAGUACUAACAGUUCUUCCUGAGAUUUCGAGUUCGAGGGGAGGAGGUCCGAGUUUAUUUCCCGAUACGAAAGGAGAGCACGAAUCAAGGACCGAGUUUCAAGUUCCAACAUGGAAACCGAGUUCCAGGAUGGUAAGCAGGAGGUUAUUGAAGCAUGGUACAUGGACGAUAGUGAAGAAGACCAGAGGCUUCCUCAUCACCGUGAUCCCAAAGAAUUCAUUCCUCUUGAUAAGCUUUCAGAACUGGGAAUCAUCAGCUGGCGCCUGAAUCCUGACAACUGGGAGAAUGAUGAGAACCUCAAGAAAAUCCGUGAAGCCAGAGGGUACUCUUACAUGGACAUUUGUGAUGUAUGCCCAGAGAAGCUGCCAAAUUAUGAGAUUAAGAUAAAGAAUUUCUUUGAAGAGCACCUGCAUACUGAUGAAGAAAUACGCUAUUGCCUUGAAGGGAGUGGAUACUUUGAUGUGAGGGACGAAAAUGACCAGUGGAUCCGUGUAGCAGUGAAGAAAGGAGGCAUGAUUGUUCUUCCUGCAGGGAUGUAUCACCGCUUCACAUUGGACAAUGAGAACUAUAUCAAGGUACACACGUGUUAUUGCACUGUUUUUUGUUGGAUAAUAGCCUUAGUUGUGUUGGUGGUUGAUCUUGGCCCCAGAAAUGCAUGGUGGCCUGACCUCUGGAGCCGCGGUGGAGGCUGUGGUGUUGAUGUAGUAGAGGCGAUGCACAGGGAGAGCAGGUGUUGUGUGAGGAAGUGAACGAGAAGAUAUGAUUUAGAGAUAACUUGCUUGAUCUAUUCUGCGACAACUCCUUAAUAGAUAAGAUUGCCGAACUAGCUAACUCACGUGCUCAUAGCACAGGCCUAGCCCUCUGCUUGCGCUGCUGUAGACCUUAUGGCAUGUGACACUAAGUAUUGAACUUACCAGGCUAUAGGAUCAGAUUUAUCUGAUAUGUUAGUGAGAAAAUGGAUUGCACAUAUCAUUUUUGUUGUCAUUGAGCAGUGACUGUUCUGGAAUUCCUUUGAAACUGAUACAUAUUUAUGAACUUUGAUUCACAUGCCUCCAUUUGAGUUUCUGCACUGAAAGCAUUGUGUUAUAAUUAUAAUGUAUGGACUCCCAAAAUUUUGGGUGAAAACACGAUCAUAUGUGUGGCUUUAAAAAGGGAUUCACAUGCACCACUUUGAACUUGCAUGCCUUUGUACUUGAUUCAAAUUUGAAUGCCUGAAUCACUUAUAUUGCUAAGAAAGUAACAUCAUCACCGAAUAAUCUGCAAAUUUUACUUUGUUACUAGAAUGAUGUGCACUAUUUACUUGAAGCUACAACCUUCAUCUUUUCUACAAUGUUGUGUAACAUUAACUUUAGAAUCCGCGUGCAUUGUUACUGGAGUUGUGCUACUGCGAUCAUCACAAGCAUGUUUUUGCAGGCAAUGCGUCUCUUUGUUGGCGAGCCUGUUUGGACGCCGUACAACCGUCCCCAUGAUCAUCUGCCAGCGAGAAAGGAGUAUCUGGACAAGCUCCUCAAGCCAGAAGGCCAAGCUGUUGAAGCUCGUUGAGACAAUUUGAAAGCUACCUGUUGGCCUCUUUCCACCCUGCGUCCUGUGUCGUAUAACCUGAAUAAGAUGUUGUAUGUCCCUAAUCUAGUACUAGUGUCCUGGCCAAUUUGAAGUGAACACUGUAACUACUGUCUAUCAGGAUCAGGUGAGGUCAUCUGGCUUAAAUACCUGCAAUAUAUAUACUGUAAACAUAUAUCUAAUAAAUAGAAACGGGUGCAUCUUUCUAUGAAGUAUUGAAGUGGAUGAAGGUGCGUUUUACCAAAACAGUUUGUAACUUUAUUCUAAUAAAGCUUCCUCUUGGAAAUGCUUGUGCACACUAA